GUUGAUUCCAGCUCACUUUGAGACAUUACGGAAUUCCAUCGGAAAAAGAUGAGGUCGCUCAUAUUCCCGUGUCUCGUGCUAGCGGUCAUCGUCUGCGAAUCAUAUGGAGCAUUCCUUUGUGGGGAUGACCUUUGCCAGGACUGGCAAUCUUGCUGCACAGAAGACGAUGGGGCUCAACAUUGCUGCGCAUCUAAUACUAGGCCUGAAAUCUGCCCCGAUAGGAAGCAUGACUGUCCUCGAGGCUGGAAGUGCGACUCGGCAGGAGUUUGCAAGAAAGGGUCCUCAAAGAUGAAGGCGCGCAAGAUCAAAGAAGGUCGCUCAAUGAAUCGAAGCCGGAAUCCUUCGGGUCGUUUCGGCUCUUAAGCCAACGACUCCGAACUCCCCCUAUGACGAUUACCACCGAUCCAGGGGAAGAUCUAGUUCGUCGGAAAUCACCAGAGCCCUACGCCGCUAAGGAGAGUCGCGCUUGAUGAAGUCUUGCGAGCGCAAAAGUCGGGGAGCCUCCGAACUCCGUCUCCACAGCUCUGAAUGGCCCACGGCGGGAACAGGCCACGGAUCAUCAGCGUAUUCUCCAUUUUCGCGGAAAGAUGAAUUUCUCAAUGAACUACAAUGUCUCGUGAUCA